rnacentral:rRNA from 1 species
ACGCUACGGCGGCUACACAUGCAGUCGAGGGGUACAGGAAAGCUUGCUUUCGCUGACGACCGGCGCACGGGUGCGUAACGCGUAUGCAACCUACCUCAUACUGGAGAAUAUCCCCUGGAAACGGGGAUUAAUACUCCAUGGUAUCAUUCUUUCGCAUGUUAGAAUGAUUAAAGAAUUUCGGUAUGAGAUGGGCAUGCGUCCCAUUAGCUAGUUGGUGAGGUAACGGCUCACCAAUGCGACGAUGGGUAGGGGGCCUGAGAGGGUGGUCCCCCACACUGGUACUGAGACACGGACCAGACUCCUACGGGAGGCAGCAGUGAGGAAUAUUGGUCAAUGGAGGCAACUCUGAACCAGCCAUGCCGCGUGAAGGAUGACGGCCCUAUGGGUUGUAAACUUCUUUUGAAUAGGAAGAAACUUAUCUACGUGUAGAUAACUGACGGUACUAUUAGAAUAAGGAUCGGCUAACUCCGUGCCAGCAGGCGCGGUAAUACGGAGGAUCCAAGCGUUAUCCGGAUUCAUUGGGUUUAAAGGGUCCGUAAGCGAGUCUUUAAGUCAGUGGUGAAAGCCGACAGCUCAACUGUCGAACUGACAUUGAUACUUGGAGACCUGAGUUCCAAUGAAGUAAGCGGAAUGAGUCAUGUGCGGGGGAAUGCGUAGAUUUACUCCGAAACCGAUGGGAAGGGGGUACAACAUUACUGCGC